UGUCCAUCUUUGUUCAUCAUAGCUGAAAGUUAGAGAAGAGAAAGGAGAGGAGAAAGCUCUUGAGUAUUCGGUCAUUAGGAGGAGGAAAAUUGAAGGUAAGUUCUUGGUACCUUGCUUCUAUUUUGAGGUUCAUGAGUUCUUCUUGAUUCUACCUUAACUCUUGAAGUAUAUUUUAAUUUUUAGUUGUGUUGUGAGCAUUUAGUCAUGAAUUAAAAUGAAGGAAAUGGUUGUUGUUUCAUGUUCUUUUGAUGAAAAAUGGAAGAUAGGUGAAGUUGAGCCAAACAAAUGAGCAUGCAUGUGCCUUAGAUGCUAAAGGGAAAAAUCGGCUAACAUGUUGUGCUUUAAAAUGAUGAAAUGGAGAUUAUACUUAAGUAAAAUCAUAGAUAUGUGAUGAUUGAUUGGUGAUAUACAUGUUUAAAUAACAAGCAUGCAAGUUAGGUGUGAAAGAGUGAUUUGGUAAUAAAUCUGCUUGGGACAGCAGCAGUAACGUGACUUUGGAAAAUCACCAUAAAUUGUGGGAGAUGAGUUAGAAGCUGCAUAAAUUAUGUAAUUAAAUCUUAAUGAGUCUAGUUUCAAAUGGAUAAACGAGAACAUAUUUUGAAUUCUGUACAAUUAGAAAUUUGAUUCGUAAUGAAGAGUGGUCAGAUUAGUCAAACAGUGAAACAUGGGAAACUUUAAGAAAAAUCUGGUAUUGAUUGGCCAUACCAAAAAUUCUGAAAAUUUUAUGGAUAAAAGAUAUAUGAGUCUAUUUUCAGGAAAAAUUAACGUCACUUGAUUUGGAGUUUCGUAGCUCCAAUUAUAAAUAAUUUAGUGACUGUUGCUCAGGAAGACAGCUUGCAGUGCAAUUAUGAUUAUGUAGUAAACAUUGACAAAAAUUUGUUAAUGAGUUGCUUAUUGAUUUCUUAUAAGCUUACUAUGAUCUGUAGGUGUGGUUGUGUAAUACCCCUACCCGUAUUCAUUGCCGGAAUAGGGUAAGAGGCAUUACCGGAGUUUACGAAUUAAUUUUUUUUUCAACAUAUUUUCAUGAUAGAUUCAUGCAUUUAUAUAAGAUAACGUCAUCACAUAUCUAUAACCAGGUUUUUUAACCAUACUAAUGGCUAACUUUACAUUCAUUUCACGUUAACAUUUACUUUGUUAGCUUAUACAUGCCAUUGAUUUCCAAAAUAAAGUUUCUUUAUAUACCGAAAUCCUGAGGUUGACAGUGUGAUGUGUCUCCGACCAAAUCCGACCUCCGAGCUCUUAACACUACAAAACAGGGAAAAAGGAAACGGGGUAAGCACUUUGUGCUUAGUAAGCUCAUGUAACAAGAAUUAUACUUACCUAAUAUUUUCAAUACAAUAUAAUAAACAUUCAUAUAUCCAUUCAAUGCAUUAUUACCCUAACAUGCACAAACUCAACAUUCAAGUUAGUACUAUAAUUUCCAUGUAUCAAUAAUAUAUAUAUACCAUGACUGAUGUACUCAUCAAUACCAUGAUUUUCAUUCCCUUAUUAUUUUUCAUAUUUAUCCCGUUGAAUUUAUCGGAAUUUCGAUGGAUUUUCAGAGGUACACUUUUAGUGUACAAUUCCGGGUCCGUCAAUUCAUAUUCAUGUACGCACAUAUCCAUUUCAGAGAGCACACUCCCGUGAACCUCAACCUUGCAGCGGGAUUACCAGUCCAGGCUAAAUCCCCUGCAAUAUAAACUCAUAGAGUAUUGUCGGGAUUACCAGUCCAGGCUAAAUCCCCUGCAACGACAAUUACUCUAAUGAGCUUGGAUCUGAAUUACCAGUCCAGGCUAAAUUCAGACCCUAAUUCGGAUUACCCGUCCGGGCUAAAUCCAUUUUACACAUAUUCUUCGGGAGGGCUAUAUCAGGAUAGGAUCACCCGUCCGGGCUAGAUCCUUUUUACCGUCAAUUCCUUUUCAGAGAUCCAUCGAAUUUUCCUUUCAUUCAACCGAGAUUUCUUCCCAUUUUAUCAAAUAUAUCAAUGUUUCAUUAAUUUUCAUACAAUGAACACUCAAAUCAUAUUCUCAUCAAUAACAUACAAUCUCAAGCAUUUCAGAAUAUAAUUCAAGUUACACGAACUUACCUUGAUACUUGUUUGUAAACAGUAAAAAUCUAUUAAUCCCGAACUUUUUCCUUUCCUCGAUCUAGCUUCGUAUUUGAAACUUCUGGAUCUAAAUAAAUAAAUUUAAUUAUCAAUUUAAUACAUUUCAUGUUCAUAUGCAACAUUCUCUAUAAUUCAACUAUUAUUUAUAGUUCAUUCAAAGCUGUCUACUUGAGUCAUAGUCACUAAAUUAUUUAUAACUUGAGCUACGGAACUCCAAAUUAAGAUCCGUUAAUUUUCCAUGAAACUAGACUCAUAUAUAUUUUUACCAUAAAAUUUUCAGAAUUUUUGGUUUAGCCAAUCAGUACAGUUUAUUCUUCAAAGUCACCCCUAUUCUGUUGUCUAACAGUUCUGACCCUUCUUCACUAAAAAUAAAUUAUCUCUUUAUACAGAAUUCAAAUGAUGUUCUUGUUUGUUUCUAUUAAAAAUAGACUCAUUCAGAAUUCUAUACAUAUAAAUUUAAGUCCCUAAUUAUUUUUAUUCAAUUUUUUUAUAAUUUUUCAAAGUCAGAACAGGGGAACCCGAAUUCAUUCUGACCUUGUCUCACAAAAUUCAUUAUAUCUCAAAAUCUAAAAAUCCAUUGCUUACAAUAUUUCUUCUAUGAGAAACUAGACUCAAUAAGCUUUAAUUCCAUAUUUUGUUCAUCUUCUAAUUUGAUUCCUAAAAUUUUUGGUGAUUUUUCAAAGUUAGUCUACUGCUGCUGUCCAAACUGUUUUAGUGCAAGCUGUUUAUUACCAUUUUUCCCCUAAGCUUUUAAUAAAUGAUAAUUUCGUCCCUACUCAAUUAGCCUCUCAGUUGAGCUGAUUUUUCUCAAUUAACAUUUUAUUCUAUCACAUUAAACUAGUUUACAACCUUUAGGAAUCAGAAUUUCAGCAAUAGACUUUAAUUCCAAACAUUUUCACAAUUAGGUCCCAAAAAUCAAUUUCCAUUGAAAUUGCCUAAUAAAAUCAUCUCAUAAACAAAUUAAAGCUUUAAUUUUAUUCUAUUUCAUCAUAAAAUUACAGCACUCAACCAUGGUGACUUUAAAUUUCAUCCAUGAAAUCAAAAACUAAUGAAUUUAAUAGUAGGAUCUAGUUGUAAAAGUCUUAGAAACACAAAAAUUACAAGAAAAAGGCAAGGAUUAACUCACUUGGUGCAAAAAUUAUGAAAUACCAGCUUAGAGAACCCUUCUAUGGCGUUUUUAGCUGCUGGAAUUGAAGAGAAAUGAAGAUAAAUAUAGAUAUUUCCUAUUUAGUCCUAGUUUUAUUUAGUUAAUUUUGCAAUAUUCCAAUUUUACCCUUAAUUUAUCAAUUUUUCUGCUGAUUUCAUACCCUUGCCGUCCAGCCCAAAUAACUUUUGGGUCUAAUUGCCUUUUAUAUCCUUUCUCAUUAGACUAAUAAGCUAUUUAAUCACUCUAGCAACUUUUACACCUAUUACAAUUCAGUCCUUUUCAUUUAAUUGACUACCCAAACAUUAAAAUUUCCUAACGAAAUUUUAAUACCACAUUAAUAACAUUUCAUAAAUAUUUAUAAAAUUAUUUUUGACUCGGUUUUACGAGAUAGAGGUCCCGAUACCUUAUUUUACCCAAUUUCUUCAAUAAUUUCUUUUUCUAACUAAUCACUAAAUUGAUAAAAUUUUCCUAUCAAUAUUUUCAUACGAUUUUCCUAUCAUAUAAAUUUUCAAGCAAAAAUAUUGAAAUAAAUUUCUCUUUAAAUCGGAUUUGUGGUUACGAAACCACUGUUCCGAUAACAUUGAAUUUACGCCAUUACAACUCUCCCCCCUUUUAAGGAUUUUCGUCCUCGAAAAUCUUACCAGUAAAGAGGUUUGGGUAUUGUUUCCUCAUUGCCUCCUCCGGUUCCCAUGUUGCUUCCUCAAUCCCGUGCUUUUGCCACAAUACUUUCACCAAAUUUAUCUUUUUAUUUCUAAGCUCUUUUGUCUCCCGUGCCAAUAUCUUGACCGGUUCUUCACUGUAAGUCAUAUUCGGUUGAAUCUCUACUUCUGUCGGAGAAAUAACAUGUGAAGGAUCUGAUCGAUAUCGUCGUAACAUAGAUACAUAAAAAACAUUAUGGAUUCUAUCAAGUUCCGGUGGUAAUGCCAAUCGAUAAGCGACCGGUCCAAUUCUUUCUAUGAUUUCAUAGGGCCCGAUAAAUCUUGGACUCAAUUUACCCUUUCGACCGAAUCGAAGAACUUUCUUCCAAGGAGACACUUUCAGAAAUACCUUGUCACCGACUUGAAAUUUAAUCUCUUUUCGCUUAAGGUCGGCAUAUGAUUUUUGACGAUCGGAAGCUGCUUUUAGACUAUCUCGAAUAACCUUUACUUUUUCUUCUGUUUCCCAGAUCAAAUCAACCCCAUGUAUCUUCCUUUCACUGAGCUCUGUCCAAUAUAACGGUGUUCUACAUUUUCUACCAUACAAAGCUUCAUACGGAGCCAUUUUAAUACUAGACUGAUAACUGUUAUUGUAAGCAAAUUCAAUCAAAGGUAGAUACCUCUCCCAAUUACCUUCAAACUCUAGUAUACAACAUCGGAGCAUAUUUUCCAAUACUUGAAUUACACGCUCAGAUUGACCAUCUGUCUGAGGAUGAAAUGCAGUGCUGAAAUACAACUGAGUACCCAAGGCUUAUUGCAAUUUGUCCCAGAAACGAGACGUAAAUCGGGGAUCUCUAUCUGAUAUAAUGGAGACAGGCACUCCAUGUAACCUGACAAUCUCAGAUAUGUAUAGUUCAGCUAGUUUAUCUAAAGAAUAAUCCAUACGUACCGGAAUAAAGUGAGCUGACUUUGUCAAUCGGUCUACAAUAACCCAAAUAGCAUCUUUUUUCCUCGGAGACAAAGGUAGCCCCAAUACAAAAUCCAUAGUGAUUCUUUCCCAUUUCCAUUCCGGUAUAGUAAUUGGCUAAAGUAACCCCGAAGGUACCUGAUGUUCAGCUUUAAAUUGUUGACAUAUUAAACACCUUGAUACAAACUCAGAGAUAUCACGUUUCAUUCCCGACCACCAGUACAUCUUUUUCAGAUCAUUAUACAUUUUAUUACUCCCCGGAUGUACAGACAUAGUACUACUGUGGGCCUCGCGUAGAAUCUUCUGUAUGAGCUCUGAAUUCUGAGGUACACAUGCUCUACCUCUGAAUAAUAAACAAUCAUCAGAACCAAUCUGAAAUUCAGAAUUAUUACCUGACUCACACUGUGCCCGUUUAACCUGUAACUUCCCAUCAUUCUUCUGAGUUUCACAUAUUUGCUGUAAAAAUGUCGAUUUAGCUCUCAAUUCAGCUAGGAUUGAACCAUCAUCAGUCAAUGAUAAUCGGGUAUUCAUAGCUCGUAAAGCAAACAGAGAUUUCUGGCUCAAAGCAUCAGCUACAACAUUAGCUUUACUCGGAUGGUAAUCAAUAAUCAAAUCAUAGUCCUUUAUCAGUUCAAGCCACCUGCGCUGUCUCAAAUUCAAAUAUUUCUGUGUCAUCAAAUAUUUCAAGUUUUUAUGAUCAGUAUAAAUAUGACAUUUCUCACCGUACAAGUAAUGCCGCCAUAUCUUCAGCGCAAAUACAAUAGUAGCUAAUUCAAGAUCAUGUAUUGGGUAAUUUCUUUCAUGUGGUUUAAGUUGUCUUGAAGCAUAGGCUAUUACUUUACCUUCUUGCAUCAAAACACAACCUAAACAAUUUAAUGAGGCAUCACUAUAAAUAAAAAAUUCCUUACCCGGUUCAGGCUGCACUAAUACAGGUGCUUUCGUUAAUAGGUCUUUCAAUCGGUUGAAACUUUGUUGACAUUCAUCAGUCCACUCGAACUUUACAUCUUUAUGCAAUAAUCGAGUCAUUGGAGAAGCUAACAUAGAGAAUCCCUGUACAAAUCUCCGAUAAUAACCAGCUAAACCCAAGAAACUUCUAACUUCAGAUACAUUCUUCGGUGGACUCCAAUUGACAAUAGCUGAGAUUUUACUUGGAUCUACCCUGAUGCCUUCGGCAGAUACAAUGUGUCCAAGAAAACUCAUUUCCCGAAGCCAAAAUUCACAUUUACUGAAUUUAGCAUACAACUGCUUCUCUCGUAGAAUUUGCAACACAAUUCUCAAAUGUUCUGCAUGUUCUUCUUCAUCCCGAGAAUAAACCAAAAUAUCAUCAAUGAAUACUACUACAAAUCUGUCUAAGUACGGUCUAAAUAUCUGGUUCAUCAAAUCCAUGAAUACUGCAGGUGCAUUAGUUAGCCCAAACGGCAUAACUAGAAACUCAUAAUGCCCGUACCUGGUUCUAAAGGCUGUUUUUGGCACAUCUGACUCCUUUACCCGUAACUGAUAAUAACCUGAUCGAAGAUCAAUCUUUGAAAACAUAGUAGCACCUUUCAGCUGAUCAAAUAAAUCAUCAAUCUGGGGUAACGGGUACUUAUUCUUUAUGGUUACUUUAUUAAGCUGCCGGUAGUCGAUACACAAUCUCAAAGACCUAUCUUUCUUUUUCACAAACAAAACUGGAGCACCCCAAGGUGAAUGACUCGGUCGAACAAAACCCCUGUCAACAAGCUCUUGCAAUUGUGUCUUUAACUCUUUUAAUUCUAUAGGAUCCAUCCGGUACGGAGCUAUGGAGAUCGGAGUAGUUCCCGGAAUCAAAUCUAUAGAAAAUUCCACUUCUCUUUCUGGUGGCAAUCCUGGUAAUUCUUCUGGAAACACAUCAGAAAAUUCACAUACCACUGGAACUGCCUGUAUCUUUGACUCAGAUACCUUGGUGUCGAGUACAUAAGCCAAGUAAGCAUCAUACCCCUUUUUGACAUACCUCUGUGCUGCCAUUACUGAAAUCAUAUCAGAUAACCCCUCUAUCUGAUCAGAUUUAACCCGGAGCAACUCACCAUUCUGACAUUUUAACACAAUAUAUUUUUGUUUACAAUUUACUACAGCAUCAUGCUGGGUUAACCAAUCCAUACCCAAUAUCACGUCAAAUUCAUCAAAUGGCAGUAACAUCAAAUUAGCUGGGAAACAAUAACCUCUUACCAUCAGUGGACAAUUUUUACAAAUUUUAUCCACUAACACAGACUGGCCCAGGGGGUUCGAGACUUUAACCACAAAUUCAGUAGGUUCAACAGAUAAAUUUUUAACAAUUGCAAGUUUAACACAUAUAUAUGAAUGCGUAGAACCAGGAUCAAUCAAUGCAGUAAUAUCAGUAUCAAGUAAAGAAAAUGUACCAGUAAUAACAUCGGGUGCUGAAGCAUCUUCUCUGGCACGAAUGGCAUAUGUCCUAGCAGGUGCUCGUACCUCAGGCCUACCUAUAGUAUCUUUUGUAGCUCCUCGACUACCACUGACAUUACCGGAUGGUCGAGGUGGUCUGCCCCUCGAAACUAGAUUACUCGGCUUCGAUAUAUGUUCAACUUCUUUUUCAACCCUUUCUGGACAAUCUCUGAGGAAAUGGUCAAAAGAGCCACAUCGGUAACAAGCCCCACUCUUAAAUCGGCAUUCACCAAAAUGAGCUUUAUUACAGUACUGGCAUCUCGGUUUAGGAGUGCCAACACUGCCAACACUGGUCACUGAUGGAGUAGAAGGCCUUGGAUUAGUACGUUGAGAACCUCGUUCUUUGCCCGAAUACCCAAUGGCUGAAGUAGAACGAUCCCGAUAUUUCUUCAAUUUCUUUGAAGCAGAAAAUUGGGAUUUCUCAUCGGUCUUUUACUAAAAAUUCGAGCUUCCCUCUCAGCCUGUUUCUUUUCUUUGCUCAAUUCUUCUACUUUAUAAGCUCUCUCUGCCAAUGUAGCAAACUCUCGAAUUUCAAGAAUUCCGAUCACUUAAUGUCUUCAUUCAACCCUUCUUCGAAUCGUUUACACAUUUCAACUUCUGACUGUACCCAUUCUCGAGCAUAUUUACUCAAUCGAACAAAUUCUCUUUCAUAUUCAGAUACUGAUCUAUUGCCCUGUUUUAGCUCAAGAAAUUCUUUUCUUUUCUGGUCAAGGAACCUCUGGCUGAUAUAUUUUUUUCUGAACUCGGUCUGAAAAAAUUCCCAUGUAAUUUCUUCUUUCGGAACAACUGAAGCUUUAGUAUUCCACCAAUGGUAAGCUGUAUCUUUUAGCAGUGAGACGGCACAUUUCAGACAUUCUUCUGGUGUACAAGAUAAUUCUUCCAGAACCCAAGUAGUAUUUUCUAACCAGAAUUCAGCCCGUUCGGAAUCAUCAUCAACUGCUACUCGAAAUUCUUCGGCCCCAUAUUUUCGAAUUUUAUCUACUGGAGCUUUCCCUUUUCUGACAGAUUCAGUACCUGUACCUUGUAGGAUCUCGGGAACCGGUGAAGGAGCAGGUGGGGGAGCUUGAACUUGCUGCACUACAGGGUUAGUUCUUAAGUAUUGAUUAAACCAUUCAUUCAUCAUUUGAAAGAAGGCUGUUUUUGCCUCCUCCCCUCGACCCUCUGUCUCGGGCCUUCUACUACUAGUUUCUUCUCUUUGUACUGAAGCCGGAGCAUGACUCCCAGCUUCCUCAGAUUGAGCUCGGUCGGAUGACAUUACUAUAAGAAAAACACAUUUUAAAUGGUCAGGAGAUAUCACACUAUCAAUAAUAAUUUAAAUGGCAUGUAUAGCUAAUCCCGUAUUUGCAACAUCGGUCCUAGAACCGGCUAAACCGUAGCUCUGAUACCAAUAAAUGUAAUACCCCUACCCGUAUUCAUUGCCGGAAUAGGGUACGAGGCAUUACCGGAGUUUACGAAUUAAUUUUUUUUUCAACAUAUUUUCAUGAUAGAUUCAUGCAUUUAUAUAAGAUAACGUCAUUACAUAUCUAUAACCAGAUUUGUUAACCAUACUAAUGGCUAACUUUACAUUCAUUUCACGUUAACAUUUACUUUGUUAGCUUAUACAUGCCAUUGAUUUCCAAAAUAAAGUUUCUUUAUAUACCGAAAUCCUGAGGUUGACAGUGUGAUGUGUCUCCGACCAAAUCCGACCUCCGAGCUCUUAACACUACAAAACAGGGAAAAAGGAAACGGGGUAAGCACUUUGUGCUUAGUAAGCUCAUGUAACAAGAAUUAUACUUACCUAAUAUUUUCAAUACAAUAUAAUAAACAUUCAUAUAUCCAUUCAAUGCAUUAUUACCCUGACAUGCACAAACUCAACAUUCAAGUUAGUACAAUAAUUUCCAUGUAUCAAUAAUAUAUAUAUACCAUGAUUGAUGUACUCAUCAAUACCAUGAUUUUCAUUCCCUUAUUAUUUUUCAUAUUUAUCCCGUUGAAUUUAUCGGAAUUUCGAUGGAUUUUCAGAGGUACACUUUUAGUGUACAAUUCCGGGUCCAUCAAUUCAUAUUCAUGUACGCACAUAUCCAUUUCAGAGAGCACACUCCCGCGAACCUCAACCUUGCAGCGGGAUUACCAGUCCAGGCUAAAUCCCCUGCAACGACAAUUACUCUAAUUAGCUUGGAUCUGAAUUACCAGUCCAAGCUAAAUUCAGACCCUAAUUCGGAUUACCCGUCCGGGCUAAAUCCAUUUUACACAUAUUCUUCGGGAGGGCUAUAUCAGGAUAGGAUCACCCGUCCGGGCUAGAUCCUUUUUACCGUCAAUUCCUUUUCAGAGAUCCAUCGAAUUUUCCUUUCAUUCAACCGGGAUUUCUUCCCAUUUUAUCAAAUAUAUCAAUGUUUCAUUAAUUUUCAUACAAUGAACACUCAAAUCAUAUUCUCAUCAAUAACAUACAAUCUUAAGCAUUUCAGAAUAUAAUUCAAGUUACACGAACUUACCUUGAUACUUGUUUGUAAACAGUAAAAAUCUAUUAAUCCCGAACUUUUUCCUUUCCUCGAUCUAGCUUCGUAUUUGAAUCUUCUAGAUCUAAAUAAAUAAAUUUAAUUAUCAAUUUAAUACAUUUCAUGUUCAUAUGCAACAUUCUCUAUAAUUCAACUAUUAUUUAUAGUUCAUUCAAAGCUGUCUACUUGAGUCAUAGUCACUAAAUUAUUUAUAACUUGAGCUACGGAACUCCAAAUUAAGAUCCGUUAAUUUUCCAUGAAACUAGACUCAUAUAUAUUUUUACCAUAAAAUUUUCAGAAUUUUUGAUUUAGCCAAUCAGUACAGUUUAUUCUUCAAAGUCACCCCUGUUCUGUUGUCUAACAGUUCUAACCCUUCUUCACUCAAAAUAAAUUAUCUCUUUAUACAGAAUUCAAAUGAUGUUCUUGUUUGUUUCUAUUAAAAAUAGACUCAUUCAGAAUUCUAUACAUAUAAAUUUAAGUCCCUAAUUAUUUUUAUUCAAUUUUUUUUAUAAUUUUUCAAAGUCAGAACAGGGGAACCCGAAUUCAUUCUGACCUUGUCUCACAAAAUUCAUUAUAUCUCAAAAUCUACAAAUCCACUGCUUACAAUAUUUCUUCUAUGAGAAAUUAGACUCAAUAAGCUUUAAUUACAUAUUUUGUUCAUCUUCUAAUUCGAUUCCUACAAUUUUUGGUGAUUUUUCAAAGUUAGUCUACUGCUGCUGUCCAAACUGUUUUAGUGCAAGCUGUUUAUUACCAUUUUUCCCCUAAGCUUUUAAUAAAUGAUAAUUUCGUCCCUACUCAAUUAGCCUCUCAAUUGAGCUGAUUUUUCUCAAUUAACAUUUUAUUCUAUCACCUUAAACUAGUUUACAACCGUUAGGAAUCAGAAUUUCAGCAAUAGACUUUAAUUCCAAACAUUUUCACAAUUAGGUCCCAAAAAUCAAUUUCCAUUGAAAUUGCCUAAUAAAAUCAUCUCAUAAACAAAUUAAAGCUUUAAUUUCAUUCUAUUUCAUCAUAAAAUUACAUCACUCAACCAUGGUGACUUUAAAUUUCAUCCAUGAAAUCAAAAACUAAUGAAUUUAAUAGUAGGAUCUAAUUGUAAAAGUCUUAGAAACACAAAAAUUACAAGAAAAAGGCAAGGAUUAACUAACUUGGUGCAAAAAUUAUGAAAUACCAGCUUAGAGAACCCUCCUAUGGCGUUUUUAGCUGCUGGAAUUGAAGAGAAAUGAAGAGAAAUCUAGAUAUUUCCUAUUUAGUCCUAGUUUUAUUUAGUUAAUUUUGCAAUAUUCCAAUUUUACCCUUAAUUUAUCAAUUUUUCUGCUGAUUUCAUACCCUUGCCGUGCAGCCCAAAUAACUUUUGGGUCUAAUUACCUUUUAUAUCCUUUCUCAUUAGACUAAUAAGCUAUUUAAUCACUCUAAUAACUUUUACACCUAUUACAAUUCAGUCCUUUUCAUUUAAUUGACUACCCAAACAUUAAAAUUUCCUAACGAAAUUUUAAUACCACAUUAAUAACAUUUCAUAAAUAUUUAUAAAAUUAUUUUUGACUCGGUUUUACGAGAUAGAGGUCCCGAUACCUUAUUUUACCCAAUUUCUUCAAUAAUUUCUUUUUCUAACUAAUCACUAAAUUGAUAAAAUUUUCCUAUCAAUAUUUUCAUACGAUUUUCCUAUCAUAUAAAUUUUCAAGAAAAAAUAUUGAAAUAAAUUUCUCUUUAAAUCGGAUUUGUGGUUACGAAACCACUGUUCCGAUAACAUUGAAUUUACGCCAUUACAGGUUGGCCGAAUAUUGUAAGGGGUUAAUACGUAGUUUGUAUUUGAAUAGUUAGAUUAACGUGUUAGUAAUCCAAUUGUAGGCGGUUCGUGUGUGGAUCUCGUCAGCAUAUCGUCGCAAACAGGUGUGUAACUGACAUCCUCUCAUAGACUAGAUUGGCAAAAGCCGAAAAGCAAAAAUGCUGAAAAGUCGGUAUUUUGGGAAUUUGCGAGUGUGCGAAUGCUCGUAAAAUAGUUGGGUUUGUAUAUUUGGUAAUCUAAAGUAAUAAACUGCAGUACGCGCGAUUUCGUACAUUUUGAUAAUUUGGGCUUAAUGGGCCAAAGAUCGGGUUCAUGGGCCAACGGGCCCAAUUCGGUAAGUAUGCGCGGUAAAUGUUCUGAUAGUACGUAAAUAGUUAGGAUAUGCAUGAAAACCUUGAAAGUAGCUAAAUUACUAUAAUACCCCUAUGUAUGGAAAAUUACUGUUAUACCCCUAGGUGCAAAAUUACCGUUAUACCUGUAGGGUUAAUUUUGACUGAAAAGCAUGACGAUCUGAUUCUGUAUGAUGUAUGCCAUGAUUAUAUAUCUGUUGCAUGGGGACAUGGGUUAUAUUAUGGAGGAAGCGUUCUGGUGGCUCUGCCACAUAUAUCGGUUCUGAUGGCUCUGCCACGAUUAUCUGUAUCUGGUGACUCUGUCACAUUAUCUAUUCUGGCAGCCAUGCUGCAAAUUCUGUGGUGUGUAGCGGUUGGGUGGGUCGAGUUGUCUCCCCACACGGUGUAAGGUUGGUACUGGGGUGUAUACGGUUGGAUAUGGUUGGGUUUCUGCAUAAACAUGUAAUAUCUGUUCUGUUUUGUUAUGGGCCUAUGGGCUUUAUUCUGAAUUCUAUUCUGGGCUAAGGCCAACUUAUUCUAUUUCUGUGGUUUGAGCUGAUAUAGGCUAUGGUUGGGUUAAUUUACACACUGAGUUUCCCCAAACUCACCCCUUUUAUUUUCAUCCACGCAGGUAAUCCCCAACCAUAGUGGGCUUGGAGCUGUGAGGGAAUUCGGAGUGGCCACCCGUUCUGAAAGUUUGAUUUUCUUCUGGUGAACUGAACAUCCUUUUAUUUACGUUUGAAGUUUUGGGUUUUUAAAUGUAAUAAGGCCGCUUAAUUAUUUUUG
rnacentral:lncRNA from 1 species